rnacentral:lncRNA from 1 species
GAACCGAGACGACUUACUGAGUGAGAAUACAAUAUCACAUCUUUGCAAUCUUUGCCUUGUUUAAUUUUCCUUAAUCAAGGUCAUGUGCAAAUUAAGUUAGGUAAUAAAAAUGUCGACAUCAAAGAAACGUUGAGAAAGGUAAAUAUUAACCUGGUCAUCUGGCCAUGGUUGAUUUUUGGUAUCCAGCCGGGUUAUUAGGUACGUGUGAAGUUAAGGAUGACAGUGGUAAUUAAGAAUACUAGAAUUUCUUCUAAACUUUAACAACAAAAUGUUGAUGUUAUGAUGUUAAUUCAGAAACGCGAACGAAGACAUUACUUAUUAAAGGUGUAUGAAUAUUCAUUGAUUGAGAUGAUAAACAUUUGAAGACAUUAAAAAAAAAACGCACGUUAAAACAUUAACCCAC